CAGUACUAUUGCACACUGUAGCAUGUUACUGUAGCACAAAGGUAAACAACCGAAAUGCUAUCGAGGCUGUGAAGUAAACAACGGAUCAGUCUCUUAAGGGUAAACAAUCCUAAGGUUGGUAGAGAUUGUGAAGUAAAUAAUGGAUUAAUCAGGAUAAACAACCCAAAUAUCACCUGUAACAUGUUGUAAGAUUGUACUAAAAAUAUAGUACAAUCUAUCGUGCAAUCGCAAAGUAAACAAUG
rnacentral:lncRNA from 1 species